GGAGAUAAAAUGGUGCUGGGGCACUCUGUUCAGACUGCCCUGUGAAACGGGGAGGAAGGUGGGGACGACGUCAAGUCAGGAUGGCCCUUACGCCCAGGGCUGCACACGUACUACAAUGCUCAGUACARAAGGAUCCGAAGCCGCGAGGUGGAGGAAAUCACUAAAACUGAGCCCAGUUCGGAUUGUAGGCUGCAACUCGCCUACAUGAAG
rnacentral:rRNA from 1 species